GGUGGUGUUUGUCCAGCGAAACCUUGUCUUCUAGAGUUUCUUUUCUGGGAGAAGAGGCUGCAAGGCUUAAGUGCAUCCGAUGUGAGUGAGCAGAUCAUAAAAUCGAUGGAGCUGCCUAAAGGGCUUCAAGCUGAAACCUGAACGCCCUCAGCAGGCUGGUUAAGAAGAUGAAGAGUUCAAUCCUCGCCAGCUGCUCCCCUGGACACACCCGAGCCCCUGUGGAGAAAGCAAAGGAACAACAGACUGAGUAACAAUCUCUUCUCCAGAGCAUUUCCCCCAGCUUGGAACAACACAUGCAUCUGAGGAAGGACACGUGUUGGUAGCCUCUUCCCCACCUCACACCCUGGAGUAACCCAUGAGGAAUUGCUGCUCCUACAGCUGCCCCCUCUAUAAAUUCCUUUUACUCUAUUGGUUGGCAUCCCUCAGAGAGGCGUGGCUUUGGCCCAGGCUCCACCAGUAGCUGGCCUUGCUUGUAUACUGUUUCAAAGCAGGCAAAAUUACUGGAAAUACUUAGGACAGAGAAAUGCAUAAAGCAUCUUAAAUUAAGCAAUGUAGAUCACAGGGAAUGGAACUGAGAAAGAGUUUUCUACAUGCAGCUGUUAAUCCACUGUUAAUUUGCUACAUCCACUUUUGGUUUCAUUGUAGAAUUGAAAUCUGAGCACCCUCUGAGCAGUGUUUUCUUUUGUGCUUUUAUGCUACAUAACCUUUAGGUGGGACUCUGGCAUAAAUGCCAAAACUAACCAAAAUCCCUAUAUAUAGCAGCUGGGCACAUUUGUCUUUGUUAUAGUAGCAUCAAACAAAAUAAUAAACAUUUCCAAUGUCCUUUUAACUAUUAAAACCUCUCCCCUUUCCCAAUUGAA